CACACAAGUGUGCUUUUUCUCUCAAGAUGAUGCUAAUUAUGAUGCCGCAACGCGGGCGUUCAUCUGUAACGUGGCUUCCUCGUGGAUUGUAAGCAGAUGGUGUUUUCUGCCAUGAAGACGACCACUAUCAGUACUCGUACAAUACGAAUAGCUGCGAUGGUUGAAAUGAAGAUCAUCGUUGCUUAGACUUAUUCUUCAUUUCUGGAGUAUGCCGGUCUACUGCCUGGUGAAAAUUAUUAUUUUACCUGGCCCAGUUGAUAGUUAUAAGCUUCCCUGUACCAGGCUGGAGCAAUACCAUUAACUUAAAUAACGACGGGUCAGUGUCGCACACUCUAUCCAUUCUGUGGAUUGGGUUUAGGUCGACAGCAGAGAAGGCAUCCAUUGGAAGAUGAUCGAUCACCAGGGCACUCGUUGGCACCACCGCCCUGCUAGUUGCUAUCAGUGUGCUAUGUACUGGAUCCUCCGCUGAUAUGCUGGCAAACUGCAUUCCAGAAGAUGGAGAUAUACAGACCUAUGAAAAUAGGAUCUACAUCCGGCCCAAAGUUGACCCGGCACCAGUUACGUUGAGUUUGCGUAACGCAAAACUCUACAACAAGACGUUCGCCUUCACAUCACCGUGCUAUUUGUUAUUCAAAGCGAUCUCACUGAUGUACUAUGGAUCAUGCUCCGUAGCAGUGAGUUAUGGCAGUGAUAACAGAUUUCUUGAGACUCUUGACUUUCCAAUACGGCCAAAGCGUAUGUGGUUUACUGCACAGGAAAGCUUAACGCAAUCUGCUACCCGAAGCUCCACGAACACAUGAAAGGGAGUAAAAGAAGGAAGUUGAUGAUAUCCAUUUCUGCCAGAGACGAGAAUUGUAUCAUAUACAAAGUGGAGAACAGUUACCCAGUAAGAGGAUUGGCCAUAAUUGCCCAGGUAAUCCCGAAACAAGCUGAAACAAGCACUGCUCCCAGCCAUACUGUAACCACAAGUCAAUCUUCUACCCGUUCCACACAGAAGCCGACUGCCUCUACACUAACAGCUCCAGUUACAACUGCCUCUUCAGUCCAAACUCCAGUUACGAACACUGCAAUAGUGGGGUCAACUAGCACCGUGGACACCUAUGUUACUCAGGUGAAGACAUCGACUCCCGCAACCACCCUAGUGGAACAGCUUGAAGAUGAGCCAGGCGGAUUUAGUUUGGUUACCACCGUUGUAAUUCCUUUGGUUGUACUUUCUGUUCUCCUGAGCGUUUUUAUUCUGCUGGUACUAGUUCGGUCAGGAACCUUUCUUUCAGAGAGUAGUCAACCGUGGAUCAUCGCUAUUCGUAAAUCGACAGUCCCGCAAAAUAGGCCAGACCCGAUAAAUCAGUUUUACGAGAAUCACAACGGUCCUGACGGCGUUGCCCAGGGACCUACGGCAGAACUGACGGAUCUGGGUCUGUACUCGGCCGUUGGACCUGGUUACAGCCAUCCAACCAACCGUCCCUAGACACCUCCUGAUAUAGCUGCUGCCCUUUAUGCCAGUUGUGCGGAGAAUGAGACUUACACUUAUGCUACCCGUGAUGGUGCUGCGCCAACGAGUUAUGUCAACACGGAAACGAAGCAGAAAGAUGCUGGUGAGCCAUACGCCAGCGUGCAGUCUAUGUUUGAUCAAUCAAUCGAGGACGUCCAUUCACAACCUAAAAGCCAGGAUAUAGAGACAGCCAGACAGGAAGCCGAAGAAGCCCCAGCCGUCUGCUACUCAGUUCCCCACAAGGCGGAUACGACAGAUGUUCGCAGACCUUACGAAAACGCAGAGGAGUGCACGGCUACUAAGCGUGAUGAACAACCCCGCACUACACAAUCAAUCGACCACAUAUGUCGUGCUACGGAUGUAACAUCACGUAGCGUCUUAUCGAGGUCCGCGCAAUCCGCCGUACAUAACCAGGAGAAGUGUAUCAAUCCAGAUGAUGUGGAGCGCAAAAAACGCCGUGGUCUGAGCGACGCAACAACAGUAGUAUGCCGCGAUACCAACACCACCACCACUA